rnacentral:misc_RNA from 1 species
GAUGAAGAACGCAGCGAAAUGCGAUAAGUAAUGCGAAUUGCAGAAUCCGUGAGUCAUCGAAUCUUUGAACGCACAUUGCGCCCCUUGGUUAUUCCGAAGGGCAUGCCUGUUCGAGCGUCAUUAUCACCCCUCAAGCCCUGGCUUGGUGUUGGACUUUAGUUAUAGCUUUGCCUAUCAACUGGUCUCAAAGAUAGUGACGGCGCCCCAGAGGGGACCGGGUACGAGGAGCUUUUUACUAAGCAUGUAUCUGGGACGACUCUGGGCGACGGUCUUGUUAUACUUUUUACCUAAGUGUUGACCUCGGAUCAGGUAGGAAUACCCGCUGAACUUAAGCAUAUCAAUAAGCGGAGGA